rnacentral:tRNA from 1 species
UCCCUGGUGGUCCAGUGGUUAAGAUUUCUUGCUUUCACUGCCAAGGGCCCAGGUUCAAUCCCUGGUCAGGGAA